AACUGUGAAGUAAUAUGUUCGACUGCGCCAUGCAUUCUCAUUGUCCGUUUUACUCUAUUUGCAGGGAUCUGCACAACGACAGGGAGAUAGAACGCCAAGUGAAGUCUACUGUAUGCUUUGUGCAGACGGUUCAGCGUGUAUGACGCAGCGGCCUCCAGCAAGAGAAACUCAAGCACCGUGUUCAAAUGCGGUGGGGACUCUUGCUCGACAUAACAACGCUUAGAAGUGCUUUUUCGGAAGAAGGACAAGUUGGACCGGAAAUGAGGACCUAGGUGUGCUCUUUUGCGUUGUUGUUCACCGUUCGAUCAUUACCAAUUUUUGUGCCCUCGUGAGUUCAACGCUCAGGUAUGUUGAUGAUAAAUGGAUAUGCGUUAAAAGGUACGUACUCCGGAGUGGUGAAUUGUUGUGGUGAAGUGAUUUGUUGCUGCUAUCUCCUGUUUCGUGAGGGUUCUUGUCGGUACUCAUAUACCGCAGGCAUGAGGGGCUUUCUUUGCAGAACAUUUCAGUGAACCAAGACUGCAGCAUUUUCAAGAUUGCCAUAACCAGCAUCAAUGCAGCUCUCAUGUCAACAUCAGCAUCAAGACAGCUCUGAUAGACCACCUCUUACUGGGUACGUUUCCCCCCCCCCCUUUUGAGACACCAUUGAAGGGCCAGUGGUUACGCAGGCAGGCUGGAUAUUACGGUAGACCAUUUCCACCCUUUUCUUUUCAGGCUACAUUGCCAAUGACAGUAGUUAUGCGGACAGGCUGCAUAUUUCUGUAUACCCCUCUUUUUUUGUUUUUCAUUUCAGACACAAUUGGCAUACAUUGGGUGAUGCAGGCAGACUGCUUAGUGUGCACCACUCGUCGUUUAGUCUAUUGAGGUGCUACAAGUGUUGUGUCAGUCUAUUUCCUCUCCGAAAAUAAAAUGUUGGGCUCUACA